GGGUCAGUAGGUUGGUCGUGCCACCGGUACGUACUGGCCUCACUGAUUCCUCCUUCCUGAAGAACCGUAAUGCCAUUAAUUUGGUGUUGCGGGGAAACAGGACUGUUACUUUGAAAAAAUUAGAGUGUUUAAAGCAAGCUAACGCUUGAAUACAUUAGCAUGGAAUAAUGAAAUAGGACGAUCGAUCCUAUUUUGUUAGUUUCUAGGAUUGACGUA
rnacentral:rRNA from 1 species